rnacentral:rRNA from 1 species
UACGUAGGCAGCGAGCGUUGUCCGGAUUUAUUGGGCGUAAAGAGCGUGUAGGCGGCCAGGUAGGUCUGCUGUGAAAACUCGAGGCUCAACCUCGAGACGUCGGCGGAAACCAUCUGGCUAGAGUCCGGAAGAGGAGAGUGGAAUUCCUGGUGUAGCGGUGAAAUGCGCAGAUAUCAGGAAGAACACCCGUGGCGAAGGCGGCUCUCUGGGACGGUACU